rnacentral:tRNA from 1 species
GGUUCCAUAGAGCAGUGGUCAGCACAUCUGCUUUACAAACAGAAGGUCCUGAGUUCGAGCCCCUGUGUAGCCA